rnacentral:lncRNA from 1 species
UUACAGCUAGGUUCUGGAACCCAUGGCACCCAAGGUUAUAAUUUCUCUUAGCCUAUCCACUGGAUAUUCUGAAGAAGCAGAAGCUGCAAGGGGAAGGAAUGAUUACUGGACUGAAUAUUGGGGACAAAAAGAAGGGAAGGGAUGCUGAAUUAACAUAAUGUCCAUUACGGCUGCGACCUGCAUGGCUGAACCCCCAGAAACCCACGAGGGGCAAUGGGAGAUUAAGAAAAACAGUGACCCAGAGCUGGAUCCACACAUUUAUUAUACAGGUUUUAUCAUCAAAAGGUUAUCUGUGAGAGAGUUUCUGCAAAGCAGGCAGGCUGGAGGUCACAGCGCUGAUGAGACAUUGUGAUUAUCUGGCUAUGCUCAGAAUCCUGUAACCCUGGGAGCCAGUGUCUGAGUUCAGAGUGACCACUGGUUGGCAUUGCCAUAGCAACUGGGCAAUAUUAACCUGUACUUUUGCACAGGGAGAGCCCAGCCCAAGCGCACCACAACCAUGAGGCGUUCAGACAUCUUGUUCCACAUCCCUACAUUAGAAUGGUCGUCUCUGUUUUGCUUCUCCUUUUGGCAGGAUUAAAUGCUGAGGCCCUUGGGACACAUAUUUGGGAAGACUUCUCACACCCAGUAAGCUCAUGAUUAAUUCUGACAGCUCCACUCAGAGAGGCUGACUCUCAGAGGGUGCCAUAGGUCAAGAAAGGUGUGGUAUCGCU